rnacentral:rRNA from 1 species
AUUGAACGCUGGCGGAAUGCUUUACACAUGCAAGUCGAACGGUAGUACGGACUUCGGUCUGGUGGCGAGUGGCGAACGGGUGAGUAAUGUAUCGGAACGUGCCCAGUCGUGGGGGAUAACGUAGUGAAAAUUACGCUAAUACCGCAUACGAUCUAUGGAUGAAAGCGGGGGAUCGCAAGACCUCGCGCGAUUGGAGCGGCCGAUAUCAGAUUAGGUAGUUGGUGGGGUAAAGGCCCACCAAGCCAACGAUCUGUAGCUGGUCUGAGAGGACGAGCAGCCACACUGGAACUGAGACACGGUCCAGACUCCUACGGGAGGCAGCAGUGGGGAAUUUUGGACAAUGGGCGAAAGCCUGAUCCAGCCAUUCCGCGUGCAGGAUGAAGGCCCUCGGGUUGUAAACUGCUUUUGUACAGAACGAAAGGGUUUCUACUAAUACUAGGAGCUCAUGACGGUACUGUAAGAAUAAGCACCGGCUAACUACGUGCCAGCCGCCGCAGUAA